CAGCAGCCGCGGUAACACGGAGGGUGCAAGCGUUAUCCGGAUUUAUUGGGUUUAAAGGGUCCGUAGGCGGAUCUGUAAGUCAGUGGUGAAAUCUCACAGCUUAACUGUGAAACUGCCAUUGAUACUGCAGGUCUUGAGUAAAUUUGAAGUGGCUGGAAUAAGUAGUGUAGCGGUGAAAUGCAUAGAUAUUACUUAGAACACCAAUUGCGAAGGCAGGUCACUAAGAUUUAACUGACGCUGAUGGACGAAAGCGUGGGGAGCGAACAGGAUUAGAUACCCCUGUAGUCCCUGUCUCUUAUAC
rnacentral:rRNA from 1 species